rnacentral:rRNA from 1 species
UACGAAGGGGGCUAGCGUUGUUCGGAAUUACUGGGCGUAAAGCGCACGUAGGCGGACCAUUAAGUCAGGGGUGAAAUCCCGGAGCUCAACUCCGGAACUGCCUUUGAUACUGGUGGUCUAGAGACCGAGAGAGGUAAGUGGAACUCCUAGUGUAGAGGUGGAAUUCGUAGAUAUUAGGAAGAACACCAGUGGCGAAGGCGGCUUACUGGCUCGGAACUGACGCUGAGGUGCGAAAGCGUGGGGAGCAAACAGGAUUAGAAACCCCCGUAGUCC